CUGCGGAAGGAUCAUUAUUGAAAUAAAUCUGAUGGGUUGCUGCUGGCUCUCUAGGGAGUAUGUGCACACUUGUCAUCUUUAUGUCUCCACCUGUGCACUUUUUGUAGACUUGGAUAAUCUCUCUGAAUGCUUGCCAUUCAGGUUUGAGGAUUGACUUUCUGUCUCUCCUUACAUUUCCAGGCCUAUGUUUUUUCAUAUACCCCAAUGUAUGUUAUUGAAUGUAAUAAAAUGGGCCUUUGUGCCUAUAAACAUAUACAACUUUCAGCAACGGAUCUCUUGGCUCUCGCAUCGAUGAAGAACGCAGCGAAAUGCGAUAAGUAAUGUGAAUUGCAGAAUUCAGUGAAUCAUCGAAUCUUUGAACGCACCUUGCGCUCCUUGGUAUUCCGAGGAGCAUGCCUGUUUGAGUGUCAUUAAUAUAUCAACCUCUUCGGCUUUUGCUUGUUGAGUGUUGGAUGUGGGGGUUUUUUCUUUUGCUGGUCUCUUUCAUGAGGUCAGCUCCCCUGAAAUGCAUUAGCGGAACAAUUUGUUGACCGUUCAUUGGUGUGAUAACUAUCUACGCUACUGACGUGAAGCAGUUCAGCUUCUAACAACAGUCCAUUGACUUGGACAAAAUUUUUCAUUAAUGUGACCUCAAAUCAGGUAGGACUACCCGC
rnacentral:rRNA from 1 species